CCAGGUUAGACCAGGGGCAUUAACUACCAUAGACACUUCAAUGACCAGGGGCAUUAACUACCAUAGACACUUCAAUGACCAGGGGUAUUAACUACCAUAGACACUUCAAUGACCAGGGGCAUUAACUACCAUAGACACUUCAAUGACCAGGUUAGACCAGGGGCAUUAACUACCAUAGACACUUCA